UUUCUCCCUUUCUCCUUUCUUUGUCUUUCACUUCUUCUCUUUCUUCUUUAAUUGAACAUUAAAUAACAGUGCAAGACAAAAUAAAGGUCACACGUUGGGCUUCUUCUUACAAGUUAAAGGGUAUCUCCAGAGCUUCUCUCCCCUUCCAUUUUUCUUUUCUUUGUUCCUUUCUUUAAACAUUAAACAACAGUGCAAGACAAAUCAGAGGUCAUACAUUGGUCUUCUUCUUGCAGGUUAAAGGGUUUUUGUCGAAAUUUUCUUCGACUACUCACUUUUCAUGACUGGUUGCAACCAUUAUCGGUAGUAAAACAUUUGCCAAAGAAGAAGUCCCAAAUAUUAGAUUUUUUGUACAGGCUAGAAGCGGUAAAACCAUUUUAUGGUUUGCAUUGUAUUGACAUAAAGGGGUAUCGAAGACUGCUACUUUUGCUUAAUGUUGAAUUUUGCAUACAAGUUCCGUGAAGAAUUACGGGCUGAAUUUCUAGGAUGAAGAGUGCGAAAGUUGAUUAACUACUUGAGAUGACUGCUUUUUCACUUUUCUCCUAUACUGUCAUGAUCAAGACGCAAGAUAAUAUCUUUCCAACCACGAUCAGUGUGCAUUUGACAGUUUGAAUUUCUUUUUUUUUUCUUAAUUCUUGCCCCGGUGAUGAUUAGUAAUCAUCCAAAAUUAUUUAUGUAUAAAUAUAUUUAUGGGAACAUCAACGAUUGUCUAGGGAUCAACUGGCCUCUUUACUUAUUCGAUAAUUCCUUUCUCAUAUUUUUUUUUCUAUGAUAGCGUUAUUGCGUUCAA